AGGUGCGAUCAUACCAGCACUAGUGCAUGGAUCCCAUCAGAACUCCGCAGUUAAGCGUGCUUGGGCGAGAGUAGUACUACGAUGGGUGACCUCCUGGGAAGUCCUUGUGUUGCACCUC
rnacentral:rRNA from 2 species